rnacentral:rRNA from 1 species
UACGUGAGGGGCGAACGUUGUUCGGUGUCACUGGGCUUAAAGGGUGCGUAGGUGGUUGUGUAAGUAACGUGUGAAAUCCCUCGGCUUGCCCGGGGAAUUGCAUGUUAUACUGCAUGACUUGAGGACCAAAGGGGAAAAGGGAACUCCAGGUGUAGCGGUGAAAUGCGCAGAUAUCAGGAGGAACACCGAUGGCGAAGGCAGCUCGCUGGGACGGUACUGACGCUGAGGCGCGAAAGCGUGGGGAGCAAACAGG